rnacentral:rRNA from 1 species
CCUACGGGUGGCAGCAGUGGGGAAUAUUGCACAAUGGGGGAAACCCUGAUGCAGCGACGCCGCGUGAGUGAAGAAGUAUUUCGGUACGUAAAGCUCUAGCAGCAGGGAAGAAAAUGACGGUACCUGACUAAGAAGCCCCGGCUAACUAAGUGCCAGCAGCCGCGGUAAUACGUAGGGGGCAAGCGUUUGCCGGAUUUACUGGGUGGAAAGGGGGCGUAGAAGGGGGCGCAAGUCUGGAGUGAAAUCCCAUGGCUUAACCAUGGAACUGCUUUGGAAACUGUGCAGCUAGAGUGCAGGAGAGGUAAGCGGAAUUCCUAGUGUAGCGGUGAAAUGCGUAGAUAUUAGGAGGAACACCAGUGGCGAAGGCGGCUUACUGGACUGUAACUGACGUUGAGGCUCGAAAGCGUGGGGAGCAAACAGGAUUAGAUACCCUAGUAGUC